UCUGUCCGUCCUGGGAGAGGGAUCCCUCCUCUGUGGCUCUUCCUGAGAGUAACGUUACUUCUGCGGCUGUCACACAUCCACAAACCUGAGAUGUAGGCUGUCAGUGGGAGCCACAGAAGUGGGAAAGGGCAACUGUGGCAACCGAGCUGUCAGAGCACACGCUCAAAACCGUUUAAAAUAAAGGCUACCCAAGUCAGUCCACCCAACAGUUAUUUGGGAAUCAACACCGAGAUGGCAGCAGAGUUAGGCUUUACUUCAACACCGGAUAAAACAAGGCAUCCACCGUUGAAAAGGAGACACCUUGAGACAUUGCUGGAAGACAAAGAGGAUCUGGAUGAUGCUGAGUAAGAACCAAUUCAGAGUUCUCAGUCGACAUACCACCCCAGCAUGUCUGCUUUGAGUGACUCAGCCAUUGUCUGGUGAUCACUUACUGCCAAUUACAUACAUUUUUGCAUCUUUUACAUAUUUUUCGAAUGCUUUUUACUAGUUUACAGUAAAAAAAAUUAUCUGCUACAAACAUACCAGUCUGCACAAACUAAUUACAAUAACAUCUUUUGACCUAAAUAGUGUUACCAUACACAUGUCUUGUGCAGUAAUUAAUGUUAAAUACGUAAAUACACAAUUUUGGUGUUUACAAUAUAACAUCUGAUUUGAUUCUCUUCUGUGAAGAGAAUCCUCUCUCACAAACAGCAGAUGACACAGAGAGGACCAGCAGAAUGUUGGACAUGGUGCAGUAUGUUCUGGAAAAUAUACAAAACACAUUCUCAUUAGGAUGUACCAGAAGUUGUUUUUGAUAUGAAAGUUGACAUUGAUAUUGAUAUCAAAAUGUCAUUAAAAAUAAUCAGUCAUCAGCACCAUGCUCCACUAAGUCCUACUGGUCUUCUGGCCAGCUAUCAUGAUUGAAGAUGUUGCAGCAUUUGAUAGCCUUGGUUGUGGCAGAUUUGGUAGCAUCCUCUCCUA